CUUUUUCAGACAGUGUUUUUUUGGGCUCCUGUUUCCAGCUUUGAUGCUUCCUCAGAGCGCGUCCUCGUUUACCUCCAGCUCAGACCUGAAGAGAUCAUUUUCCAGCUUGGAAAAGGUGCGCAGCUUUGUUCUUUAGGGUCCUCAUUUCUGCGUUUGACCUCAGUGGGCAUGGCCACAGAAUCAGAAAUAUUUAAGGAAAAGGAGACAUUAACCAUCGUUUAGACGGAAAACUCUGUCUGCACGUUUGCAUGUAAACAGGGAAAAACAUAGAUUUGGGUAGCCCACGACAGAUUGUGUAUUGGAAACUGGGAUAAAUGCAAUGUUGGUUACAAUCUAUGGUCUAUGUUUACAAUCUAUGGUGAUCGUGGAUGCAUGCAGAAUAGCAGUCACAUUUAUGUGGUUGCAAUCCCUUUGUAUUUGCUUGCAUUUGCAAUUGUGUGUACUAGUGCUGUACUAUGUGGAGGAGCAGCGAGGAAUGAGUGCUCUAAGAUCAGCAAUGUUGCAGCAACUUCUCCCUCCGACACGAAGAGUGUGUCCGUGUUGCCGCCAGCCUUGCCGGUUUUGGGUUCGACCUGGGUGCACUGCUGUCUGGUGGGAGAACUUAGACAAUGAAGUGGUUCUGCUGGAAGAGUGGCGUAAAAAUCUCUGGAUGUCAUGGGCAUUGCUGCUGUCACUCUCCAUGGGUUGCAUAUACAUAGGUUAGUGUCUAGAUCAUAGUUCGUCUCCCAGCCACAUCCUCUGCCAUGUCCUGGGCCACCACGACCUCUUCCAUGGCCUCUGCCACGCCCUCAAUUUUGAUAAAAGGAACCGCCAUGGGCUGCAAUGGUGAGGUGGGCAUUCACGGCAGCGGUCUUCAACUUAUCUGCUUUUCUUUUGUGUUUCUCUGAUUCUUUAUUGUCAUGGUGCUUGGUGUGACUGAGAAUUUCCUUAAUCCGGUCAUCUCUCCAUCCCCCCACCAGGGUUGACUUCAUGGUGGAGGUGAUUGAUGGUCUCAGUCCUUCUCCAAAAGCUGUACUAAAGACAUUUUCGAACGGUGUUUUGGCUACACCACACUCAUCAGGUUUUCCAUGACCUGAGUGUGAGGCACAGACCUUGAGGAGCCAGUAGUAAUUAUCAGCAAUGGUCUCACCCGGUUUUUAUUUGCAGUCCCUGAUCUCCAGGAGGUCGACUUUGACUGGAAUUUUGUCUCUGAUUUCCUGGACAAUGGACAUCACCCAGUUUUCCCAGUCCCCAUCGUUGUUCCACUCAGCAGUUCUCGCCUUCAGGAGUUGGUAAUUGGGCACUGUCACUUUGGCUUGUAUUUUCUGAAAUCCCUCACUUUUCAUGUGGAGGGCCAGGAACUUGUGCAGCUCGAGUCAUGUGGGUCUCCAAAUUUCUCAGAAAGACCUCACACAUUCACUCAAGAUGAUCCCCCUUUUGCUGACAGGAAGCCAGUCUUUUAUGGCUUCUUUCAUUUCCUGAUCCAUGUUGCAGUGGACCAGAACUGAUUUACCGUCUGGGCCAGGAUAUUCCAUCAUUGGGAACCGCUGUGCUUGUCAGGUGUGCCUAGGGCUGGUCAAAUAUUCUUUUGAGUCAAAAAUGUCCUCCUUGUCUUUAUCGGUGUCUGCAGACGUAUUAGCUGACUGCUGACAAUGCCAUUGUCUGGACCCAGAUGUGGUUUUGGUCUCUUUGGGCACCACAGAUGGGCCUGUCAAAGAAUCAGCUUAUUGUGGUGGGGGAUGGGCUGCAGGUGCUGAGGGUGAUGUUGGUGGUGGCUUUUGAAGUUGUUGUCCUCCAGGUCCGCCUGGUGGUAUGUAUGCAGAUGCCUGUCCUCGCAGGGCAUAAGAUGGGUCUCAGUUGUCCUGUUUGCCUCAACCACCAGUUAGGUGCAGGUUUGGAUAUAGGGAAGAAGUCAGAGACACAGUUAUGUCAGUUGCAUGUCCCUCAUUCAUUUUUUUCCUUCACUCCCUCAGACUUAUUCUUUUGCUUUCUUUCCUGACUUUCUGCCUCAUUCAUCCACAUUCUAAGACACUUGUUUUUCUCCAUCUCUCGCAAAUCUUCUCUGUCAGUCUUUUCUUUGCCUUUAUUUUCUCCUCUUUCUUUCCCAGGCACACUUUCCCACACUCAAACUUCCACGCUUAGGAAAACCACAUUCUUUAACCCAAAAUUCAAUGCAAGAAAAACAUUUACCCCCUUAUUUAUCUCUUAUGAGAUUGAAAAUUGGAAAGUCAUGGUUUUCCAGACCCGUCUUGCUCCCACUUGACCCAAUUUUGUCUUUGCGCCUGGGUCCUUUUUUUUCUCCUCUCCAGACGUCUCCAGCAGAGGUCUGUAAUUUCGACCUUACACUGGUUAUAUUGAACGUCUCAGUCAGGGCCUGUAACCCUUUUGGACACUCGUCAGGACUUGAACCCUCUUGACGGGACUGUAACUCCUUUGACGAUUUGACCGUAACCCUUUUCCCAUCUGUGGACCACAAGAAUUACCUGGAAAUUACAGUUUGACUCUUACUUCCUCUUGUGGCGCUGGUCAUGGCGACAACUCCUUUUACUAACUCCUUUUACUAACCUUUUUAACCACUUGUGGUGGACAAUGGCAACAGGAUGUCACCCUGGUCUGGGGGGCUUUCUCUUAAUUUUUUUGCCACCUUCUACUCGGAGUAUGUGAGAGUGGAAAACCUCACCAGUACAGCCGCGACUUUCUACUCUUCUCCUUAAUUCCGGGACAGGCAUCGUGUAUCCCUUGUCAGCUGUUCCUCCAGAGAUUGCUUGGCUGAACCCCUCCACGAAGAACCGGGGCUGGUAGUCUGGGCCAGGACGCACAAGGAAAAGGGGGAGACACAGCAGACUACGGCAGAGGGUCGUAGGUGAUUGUCAGAGAGGCACUGUGCACCAAGGACAUCAAACUUCUGUCCGUAUCCCUGCGACCCUUCUAUCUCCCCAGAGAAUUCCCACAGUUGUUUUUCACUGUGGUUUAUGUUCACCCAAAAGCUAAUGCUGAAGUAGCCGCUCAGGUUAUGCUAAAAACAGUGCAGCGGCUACAGGGGCUAGUGCCGGAUGCUCCACACUUCAUUCUGGGUGAUUUCAACCAUUGCAAACCUUCAAAGUCAUUGGGUGGUUUUUACCAAUUCGUGACGGAUCACACUUGUCAUGCCAAGUGCUUGGACCUUUGCUUUGGAUCCAUAAAAGGUGCAUAUAAAUCCUUCAUCAGAGCUCCGCUUGGUAUGUCCGACCACAACACGGUCUACCUUGUUCCGUCCUAUAACUCUGUCCUUAAGAGACACAAGCCGGAGAGAACAUUGGUUCCAGUUUGGUCUGAGGAAUCAACCUGUUGCAUUCAGGACUACUUCCACAGCACGGAUUGGGAUUUGUUCACAAGUGUCUGUGUAGUCCUUGAGCCGGACCAGAUGUCGGUACCACUUGGGUGGGCAAAACCUUACAUAUACUAAAUUGUUUUUAGGGUCAAUUUAAGUAAAUUGAAAUAUGAUAGACUUUUCAUAGGGGUAGCUUUUUAUAUUUUUUCUCAUUUUGUUAUUUUCCUCAAUAGGCGAAUUUUUGUUAACUCCAAAAGCAACACAAAGUCAAAAGCACAUUAAAAGUCAUACUCUAUUUGGGUCACACUGCUCGUUUCUAUAAAUGAAUCAAACCUGUGUCUAAUUAAAUGAGUUGAUGAGGUGGGAGUGGCCCAAUUUGAUGGUGGAGCAGUUCUUUCAGGUAUCAUAGCACUUGAGCCAAGAACCAAAAUUUCACAUAUCAGUACCACUUGGGUGGGCAAAUUCUAGUUGUGAUUUUUUUAUUGCUAUACAUCCCUACAAUAAGUUUUUAUAUGAUAGACCUUGGUAACUGGUAGCUUUAUUGUAGUUAUCACUCGUUGAAGUAAUACAGUGCAGCUGUUCAAAAAUGAAAAAUCGCCUUCCUUCAAAAUGAGCUUUCUUUCAUUUUAACCUCUCAUUUAGGUGUCUUUGAACUAUUGGCUGGCCAUAGAGACUUGUAAUAACCCCCUAAGUAGUAUUUCAAGUAAUUUAUCUAAUACAGGUGUGUAUAUAUAAGCUUCAAUUAGCCAAUUGUCAGGUCUAAAUCAAGGUCUAAAUUAAGGAUAUUUUUUUACUUAGAAGUAGAAGUAAAGUAAAUGCUGACUAAUAGCAUUAUAAUAACACAACUUUAAUAUGACACCGACAUAUUUUAAAUGCAGGCACUCAUACAGUCAUCCUGGCUGGUGCAGGGCAAGAUUACAUUAGCAACAAAAUAAGAUAUACUGAUGUAUACACUCUAUACAAUCAUCUGAGAAAAACUCCAUUCCUCCACCAAGAACUUGAUGAGACUGGCUUUGUUGGCAGGGCUGCAGAGAAGUUUCCUCCACUGCUGAAUAUUGUGGCCAGAAACAAUGUUUCUGAACUGGAUCCCCAUGUCUGCACCUCUGUUAAGUCUUUCUGAAUUUUUGAUUGACAUUUCCUUGUAAACGUCAAAGACAACAUCAAUCUUUUCACUUUCACCACUUUCAUGCAGGACCUUGGCUAAAGUUGAGUCCAGCCAGCUUACACCAUGUCAGGAUUGCGUAUUAAUGCAACCGAUUCGUGCCAACUACCAGGCUGCUAUCUGGAGACGGUCUCUUCAUACCAAGCCAUCUGUACCAAGCCCCAAGGACCAUGGGUGGACCAUAAAUGACGAAGGGCAGCUGGAAAUACAGUGGAUGCGUGGUUCCCCAGCACCAGAUGCGGUCUUGCAGUUGUUAUCCUUCAAGAGUGUGAGGACAUGCAAACCACCAGACUGCACCUGUCUCAGCAAUGGGCUGAAGUGCACAAACCUGUGCAAAUUACAAACUUGUGCCAACCAAUACAGUGAGGAAGAGCCCCUUGCACACCCGGCAGACUCAGAUGUAUAAGAAGAUACAGAUACUGAUACUGUCGAUUUCUGAUGUUGAUUAAUAAGUGAUGACCAAAAGGAGCUAUGUUAACAGACCCACUGUGACUCAGUGACAGUAUUAUGUUCUAAGCUGAAACUUGAC
rnacentral:lncRNA from 1 species